AUUGAACGCUGGCGGCAGGCUUAACACAUGCAAGUCGAGCGGGGGAAGGUAGCUUGCUACCGGACCUAGCGGCGGACGGGUGAGAAAUGCUUAGGAAUCUGCCUAUUAGUGGGGGACAACAUCUCGAAAGGGAUGCUAAUACCGCAUACGUCCUACGGGAGAAAGCAGGGGAUCUUCGGACCUUGCGCUAAUAGAUGAGCCUAAGUCGGAUUAGCUAGUUGGUGGGGUAAAGGCCUACCAAGGCGACGAUCUGUAGCGGGUCUGAGAGGCUGAUCCGCCACACUGGGACUGAGGCACGGCCCAGACUCCUACGGGCGGCAGCAGUGGGGAAUAUUGGACAAUGGGGGGAACCCUGAUCCAGCCAUGCCGCGUGUGUGAAGAAGGCCUUAUGGUUGUAAAGCACUUUAAGCGAGGAGGAGGCUACUCUAGUUAAUACCUAGGGAUAGUGGACGUUACUCGCAGAAUAAGCACCGGCUAACUCUGUGCCAGCCGCCGCCGUAA
rnacentral:rRNA from 1 species